rnacentral:rRNA from 1 species
GGACUACCGGGGUAUCUAAUCCUGUUUGCUCCCCACGCUUUCGUAGUUGAGUGUCAGUACCUGUCCAGGUCGCCGCUUUCGCCUCUGGUGUUCCUCCCGAUCUCUACGCAUUUCACCGCUACACCGGGAAUUCCACGACCCUCUCCAGGACUCCAGUCUCACCGUUUCUGGGGCACUUCUUGAGUUAAGCUCAAGGCUUUCACCCCAGACAAAUGAGACCACCUACCUACCCUUUACGCCCAAUAAUUCCGAGCAACGCUUGCACCCUCCGUAUUACCGCGGCUGCUGGCAC